AUGGGUUCCCAGGGUGUGUUGAGGGUGGGAACGAAGCCAGAGACCAGAAGUACAAUUACUUCUGACACUCCUCACAGGACCACCUAACGUGGUUAACCGCCCUGGCUAACGGGGACACUGCUGACAAUACACGUGGCUGUUAGUUCCUGAUUUCUGCUUAAGGCUUUGCAGUUCUGCUUUUAGUCCUGUGACCAGAGACACUUCCUCCUAUGGCAGCUGAAUUCCACAUUUCCUGAAACAGGAUUUCCCUAUUUUGUAGAGAACUUCCAUGACUGAAUCUUCCUGCUUCUGGAAAUAAAAUGGGUAGUACCUUGCACACAAA
rnacentral:lncRNA from 1 species